GACGAACGCUGGCGGCGUGCUUAACACAUGCAAGUCGAACGGAAAGGCCCUGCUUGCAGGGUACUCGAGUGGCGAACGGGUGAGUAACACGUGGGUGAUCUGCCCUGCACUUCGGGAUAAGCCUGGGAAACUGGGUCUAAUACCGGAUAGGAGCCAUUUUUAGUGUGAUGGUUGGAAAGUUUUUUCGGUGUAGGAUGAACUCGCGGCCUAUCAGCUUGUUGGUGGGGUAAUGGCCUACCAAGGCGGCGACGGGUAGCCGGCCUGAGAGGGUGGACGGCCACAUUGGGACUGAGAUACGGCCCAGACUCCUACGGGAGGCAGCAGUGGGGAAUAUUGCACAAUGGGCGCAAGCCUGAUGCAGCGACGCCGCGUGGGGGAUGACGGCCUUCGGGUUGUAAACUCCUUUCGCUAGGGACGAAGCUUUUUGUGACGGUACCUAGAUAAGAAGCACCGGCUAACUACGUGC
rnacentral:rRNA from 1 species